GGGUCAAUGGGCGAUCCGUAAGGCUCAUGGCCUAGGUUGGUGGCUUCCAUUGCACUUAGGAAGGGUGCCAGCCUAAGGUCUCCUCAAGCAGGAGAGCCUACGUCAUAAUUUGUUGCCGAGGGGGCCUGCGUACGCGCGGCCCCUGCAAUUUUAGUUGCUUUUAGGUUGAAUUGGAUCUCACACACCACGCUGAUUACUUACGUCCCACAUUGAAUGGGAAUAAAACUUAAACAUAAGUUGGGAGUAUAAGUAAAGGAAAGAGCAAUGAGCAAUUCACUUACCUGGACGGGGUCAAUGAGCGAUCAAGAUGGUUCAUGGCCUAGGUUGGUGACCUCUAUUGCACUUAGGAGGGGUGCCAGCUUAUGGUCUCCUCAAGUAGGAGAGCCAACGUCAUAAUUUGUGGUAGUGGGGGCCUGCGUUCGCGCGGCCCCUGUCCAAUAUAGUCUCUAAUCUUGUAUAUUCUACCAAUUAAGCUGACAAUGGAUUUAUUCGUGCCUACAACUUUGAAACAAUGAAAAAGGUUAUAGAAUUUGAAGCACACAAAUACUUCAUUAGAUAUGUAACUGUUCGUCCAUCCGUCCAAAUCUCUCAUAUCCAUAUACAUUCUAUAAGCAUAGAUUGGGUAAAGGGUUGGAUAUGCACUCAAAUCUUUGAGGGACAUUCCCAUUAUGUGAUCCGUGGCUUUCAAUCCAAAAGACUAAUUGUCUAGCUUAAUGGAAAUAUUAUGAAAACGUAGUUUUUA